rnacentral:rRNA from 1 species
ACUCAAAUGAAUUGACGGGGGCCCGCACAAGCAGUGGAGCAUGUGGUUUAAUUCGAAGCAACGCGAAGAACCUUACCAGGGCUUGACAUCCCGCUGACCGGUGCAGAGAUGUGCCUUCCCUUCGGGGCAGCGGAGACAGGUGGUGCAUGGUUGUCGUCAGCUCGUGUCGUGAGAUGUUGGGUUAAGUCCCGCAACGAGCGCAACCCUUGACCUGUGUUACCAGCGCGUGAAGGCGGGGACUCACAGGUGACUGCCGGCGUAAGUCGGAGGAAGGCGGGGAUGACGUCAAAUCAUCAUGCCCUUUAUGUCCUGGGCUACACACGUGCUACAAUGGGCGGUACAACGGGAAGCGAGACCGCGAGGUGGAGCAAAACCCUGAAAGCCGCUCGUAGUUCGGAUUGCAGGCUGCAACUCGCCUGCAUGAAGCCGGAAUUGCUAGUAAUCGCGGAUCAGCAUGCCGCGGUGAAUCCGUUCCCGGGCCUUGUACACACCGCCCGU